rnacentral:rRNA from 1 species
GGGUGAGGAACGCGUAGUAAUCUACCCUCCGGCGGGGGACAACAUCCGAAAGGAAUGCUAAUACCGCGUAAGACCACGACCACUACGGUGGAUGUGGUUAAAGAUGGCCUCUUCUUGAAAGCUAUCACCAGAGGAUGAGCCUGCGUCCCAUCAGCUUGUUGGUGAGGUAAUGGCUUACCAAGGCGAAGACGGGUAGCUGGUCUGAGAGGAUGAUCAGCCACACUGGCACUGGAACACGGGCCAGACUCCUACGGGAGGCAGCAGUGAGGAAUAUUGGGCAAUGGGCGCAAGCCUGACCCAGCCACGCCGCGUGUGUGAUGAAGGCCUUCGGGUCGUAAAGCACUGUGGGGAGAGACGAAAAAUUUCCGUUCAAAUAGGGCGGAGAGAUUGACGGUACCUCCUUAGCAAGCACCGGCUAACUCUGUGCCAGCAGCCGCGGUAAUACAGAGGGUGCAAACGUUGCUCGGAUUUACUGGGCGUAAAGCGCGUGUAGGCGGACUCGCAAGUCGGUUGUGAAAUCCCUGGGCUCAACCUAGGAACUGCAUCCGAAACUGCUUGUCUUGAGUAAUGGAGAGGGUGGCGGAAUUCCCGGUGUAGAGGUGAAAUUCGUAGAUAUCGGGAGGAACAUCAGUGGCGAAGGCGGCCACCUGGACAUUUACUGACGCUGAGACGCGAAAGCGUGGGGAGCAAACAGGAUAGAUACCCUGGUAGUCCACGCCGUAAACGAUGA